CUACGGAGGAUGCGAGCGUUAUCCGGAUUUAUUGGGUUUAAAGGGAGCGUAGGUGGGAUAUUAAGUCAGCUGUGAAAGUUUGGGGCUCAACCUUAAAAUUGCAGUUGAUACUGGUUUCCUUGAGUACGGUACAGGUGGGCGGAAUUCGUGGUGUAGCGGUGAAAUGCUUAGAUAUCACGAAGAACUCCGAUCGCGAAGGCAGCUCACCGGGCCGGAACUGACACUGAUGCUCGAAAGUGCGGGUAUCAAACAGGAUUAGAUACCCUGGUAGUCCGCACAGUAAACGAUGAAUACUCGCUGUUUGCGAUACACGGUAAGCGGCCAAGCGAAAGCGUUAAGUAUUCCACCUGGGGAGUACGCCGGCAACGGUGAAACUCAAAUGAAUUGACGGGG
rnacentral:rRNA from 1 species